rnacentral:rRNA from 1 species
AUUGAACGCUGGCGGCAUGCCUUACACAUGCAAGUCGAACGGCAGCAUGGAAGAGCUUGCUCUUCUGAUGGCGAGUGGCGAACGGGUGAGUAAAGCAUCGGAACGUACCGUGUAAUGGGGGAUAACGUAGCGAAAGUUACGCUAAUACCGCAUACGACCUGAGGGUGAAAGCAGGGGAUCGCAAGACCUUGCGUUAUACGAGCGGCCGAUGUCAGAUUAGCUAGUUGGUAGGGUAAAGGCCUACCAAGGCGACGAUCUGUAGCGGGUCAGAGGGGAUGAUCCGCCACACUGGGACUGAGACACGGCCCAGACUCCUACGGGAGGCAGCAGUGGGGAAUUUUGGACAAUGGGGGCAACCCUGAUCCAGCCAUGCCGCGUGAGUGAAGAAGGCCUUCGGGUUGUAAAGCUCUUUCGGCCGGGAAGAAAUCGCACAGGCUAAUACUCUGUGUGGAUGACGGUACCGGCAUAAGGAGCACCAGCUAACUACGUGCCAGCCGCCGCCGUAA